UUGUGCUAAAUAGUGAUACUAGAAGCUACAUUUAUAAUAUUUACCUCAGGUAAAAAAUACUGCUGGUAACGUUGAAGCACUUGACGGGCUUCGUCAACCGUCAGUUAUAAAAGCUCUGUUAAAUACAUUUUGUUCCGGGUUUUAAUGAAUUACGUUACAGUCCUGCUUUAUUUCUUUGUCAUUUUAAAUUAAAUUGCCAAUCAGAAUAAGACAGCUGUGUUGGAAGGAGACGAAAUUCGAGACAGUCAUUUCAGUGAAGCGCGUGGUCAAAGGAACCGGGUGGAAGACGGUAGAAGGGAAAUUAUAUGUAGUUAAAUGUUUGUCGCAGUUUUACACAUAUUCCGUGAGUAUUUUUCGCUUGUUCACGAGUGUUUUAUCAGGGUUGGAGCUAAACUCGGAAGGAAAGUGGAAACUGCUGGCCAAAGUUGAGAACAUUCCGCCGGUCUGUAUUAUAAAUGCACGAUUGCAGUGCAGCGUUUGUAUCCGCAACAAGUCUAACGUUAGAUAUGCAUGUUUUCUGUGAUGCACACAAAUAAUUAAUGUGAUGGUAGCUGUUAAGACACUUACAUUUAACAUUCAAAUGUUUUAAAAACCAAACGUGUUCAUGUUUUUAUGUGUAUUUGGUUUGUGAAGUGUAAUUUAUGCUUUUUUCCUCUCCCCCACAGAUAACCAUGGUUAAUAAAUGAUCAGACACGUCACUGGCUUUAAAAUAUAAACCCCAUUGAUGCAAAAAGAUGCUGCAUGGAAUGACAAUGAGGUUUGGAACAGACUUGAAGAACAUGGAAACAUCUCUAAAUAAAAUGGCCCCAAACAUCAUCAGGAGUGCAAAAGAAGGAAAAAACAUCUCUACGCCAAUCUCAUUGGAGAGGAAACCACAGAAGGUCUGGUGAGGAAUGCUGCACUUAUGUUAUUGCCAGCAUUAUUUCAAGAAAAUCCCAGCUUCCUUGACUGUGUAAAUAGUGAACCCAAAGGUCCCACACCAACCAUAGUGUUCAAUGGCUCUCCUGAUCUUCUCAAAUCUGAAAGUCGGAGAAGCGGACCGCCCCUGUCGCGGAUCACGCUCCUCCUAGUUCCACCUCGAGGAGGUCCCAAAGCACCCCAAUGACCAGACAAACCAGAGAUAAGUAAAAUAUAAAAAUAGAAACUUUAUUUAAAUUAUUUAAAACUAAAGUGGGGAAUGGGAAUCUAAAAAUCUCGCUUCUCGCCCUCAGGGGGAGUAUUACGGGGCCAGGGACGUUGGAGGGGUUUCCAUGUGACUCCAGCUGGAACACCGCUACAGAGCGUAUCUGGGUGGGUUGGGCACACACCGUCGCGGCGGCCCCUGAUGGCAUCCACAAAGGUCCAAGACCCUCCUAAGCUCCCAGCCGUAGCAGAACUACGUAUUUCAGCACCCGAACGACUAACAACCCAGCCGGCAUCUGCAGCGUAUAUCCAACGCGAUCAAACUUCACUCUGACAAGUAACUUCCUAUACACAACCACGCCGUCCUUUCGCCCGGACCAGCCCCGCACUCUUUCCGCCCGCUACCUAGCGGUCGCCGGAUCAGCAGAGCCUGCGGACUCUUCGGACUCUGUGACCCUUACAGUAACUUCUACCUUCUCUCUUUAUAUCCUCCUCCCAGGCGUGGCUCGCCCAACCAUCGCUCGCCAUGUCACUCACACAGCUGUGCCUUGUUUCAGUGAGUGCGGGGAUUCCCGGGGAACCCGGAAGUGCCGGUGUCUGUACAAACCGGUCCGGGCGGAACCUCUUCACUCUCCUUUUGGUUCCGCCCCGCAUAGUCACUCCGUGACAACUGUUUGCGUUUUAUUUUCUCCUCAAUGUUCAAUACCCUUUUGCCAUUAAGCACACAGUGACAUUAAUUUAUAAAAUAUAUGCUUAAGUUUUAAUACCUGUACAAAACAAAUGUAAAAUCAACUUGUGUAAAUUGUCAUUUUAUUUAAUAGAUUGUUCAUGAAUUGUCUUUAAAUGCAUUGUGAUUUCGGUAACACUUUACAAUAAGGUUCAUUAGUUAACAUUAGUUAAUGUAUUAACUAACUUGAACAAACCAUGAGCAAUACAUUUGUUACAGUAUUUAUUCAUCUUUGUUAAUGUUAGUUAAUAAAAAUUUAAGCUUUAAUUGCUUGUUCAUGUUAGUUCAGAGUGCAUUAACUAAUGUUAACAAGAUUUUAAUAAAGUAUAAGUAAUUGUUGAAAUUAACAUCAACAAAGAUUAAUAAAGGCUGUAUAAGUGCAGUUCAUUAUUAGUUCAUGUUAACUAAUGUAGCUAACUAAUGUUAACUAAUGAACCUUAUUGUAAAGUGUAACCGUGAUUUCUUUUCAUCAUUUCAGACACAUGUAAAAGUUACUAAAACUUAGUACUGCCUAUACUGUACAGUAUCUAUGCGUAAGGGAAAUAACUUGAACAAAAUUUUUUAUGUAUAGUGUAAUUAAUAGUUUAGCUGUUUAAUACAGAGAUGCAAUAUAUAUAUGUAUAUGUAUGUUUAUUAAAAAGUGAAAAUGCUUAAUGGAAAUAAUUAAAUAACUAAAUGGUUUAAUGUAAUGAGACAUUUUAAAUGUAAACCAAAGUUUUGCUGUCUAAUACAGAAUAAAGAGAUGUGAUUUUAAGUAA